rnacentral:rRNA from 1 species
UUAUACCGGUUCUCGUUAGAUCACCGAAGUCAAGCAUCAUUGGGCGCGGUCAGUACUUGGGUGGGUGACCGCUUGAGAACACUGCGUGCCGUU